UUGGAAAACUAUGUUUACACGUUUGCAUUUUAACUGAGACGAACGGAGGUUUAGGCAGCCGAGGAAGAGAAGAGAGAGGAAGUGAUUCGCCGCUGUUGUUGCUAUUUUCAGCAUUCUGAUUGGCUAACGUGGGCUUGAGCUUCUCGUUACACCGCCACCUACAGGUUUGCCGUGCUCUUAACGGCAUAUAUACACGGGUACGUGU